AACGAACGCUGGCGGCAUGCCUAACACAUGCAAGUCGAACGGGAUCCUAGCUUGCUAGGUGAGAGUGGCGGACGGGUGAGUAACACGUGGGAAUCUCGCCUUUUGGUUCGGGAUAACCGCGGGAAACUGCGGCUAAUACCGAAUGCCCUCGAGAGAGGAAAGAUUUAUCGCCAGAAGAGGAGCCCGCGUCCGAUUAGGUAGUUGGUGGGGUAAAGGCCUACCAAGCCGACGAUCGGUAGCUGGUCUGAGAGGAUGAUCAGCCACACUGGGACUGAGAUACGGCCCAGACUCCUACGGGAGGCAGCAGUGGGGAAUAUUGGACAAAUGGGGGCAACCCUGAUCCAGCAAUGCCGCGUGAGUGAUGAAGGCCUUAGGG
rnacentral:rRNA from 1 species